rnacentral:rRNA from 1 species
CCUACGGGAGGCAGCAGUAGGGAAUAUUGCUCAAUGGGGGAAACCCUGAAGCAGCAACGCCGCGUGGAGGAUGAAGGUUUUCGGAUUGUAAACUCCUUUUGUUAGAGAAGAUAAUGACGGUAUCUAACGAAUAAGCACCGGCUACCUCCGUGCCAGCAGCCGCGGUAAUACGGAGGGUGCAAGCGUUACUCGGAAUCACUGGGCGUAAAGAGCGCGUAGGCGGGUUAGCAAGUCAGAUGUGAAAUGCUAUGGCUUAACCAUAGAACUGCAUUUGAAACUGUUAUUCUAGAGUAUGGGAGAGGUAGGUGGAAUUCUUGGUGUAGGGGUGAAAUGCGUAGAGAUUAAGAGGAAUACUAAUUGCGAAGGCGACCUGCUGGAACAUAACUGACGCUGAUGCGCGAAAGCGUGGGGAGCAAACAGGAUUAGAUACCCUUGUAGUC